AUUGAACGCUGGCGGCAGGCCUAACACAUGCAAGUCGAACGAGUGGCGGACGGGUGAGUAAUGUCUGGGCAACUGCCUGAUGGAGGGGGAUAACUACUGGAAACGGUAGCUAAUACCGCAUACCAUCGGAUGUGCCCCGAUGGGAUUAGCUAGUAGGUGGGGUAACGGCUCACCUAGGCGACGAUCCCUAGCUGGUCUGCGAGGAUGACCAGCCACACUGGGACUGAGACACGGUCCAGACGCCUACGGGAGGCAGCAGUGGGGAAGAUUGCACAAUGGGCGCAAGCCUGAUGCAGCCAUGCCGCGUGUAUGAAGAAGGCCUUCGGGUUGUAAAGUACUUUCAGCGGGGAGGCGUUACCCGCAGAAGAAGCACCGGCUAACUCCGUGCCAGCAGCCGCGGUAAUAC
rnacentral:rRNA from 1 species